CAGAAACUGUGGCUGACAGUAUCCAACUCAUCCUGAGCUAUCCAAGUCGGAGGAAUGUUUACCAUGAUACCAUCAGAAGGAAACGGGGAGUAAACGCGUCAGCUGUAAUCACUUUUCCUCCUUUUUUUCUAUAUGCCAGUUACUUUUUUCUUAAAUGUUUAUUUUUGAUGUCAUGGACUAAGGAGCGUCCCAAAGAAAACGUACUUUUCUCUCUCUUAGGCUGAUUUUUGUCCUUCAUUUUCCCUCCCAUUAUCAAAAUAUUCCCGCGUAACGAACUGAUGGAUAUGUCGUGGAAAGUGGGGCUCGUGCUGGUGAUGUGCUGGAGUCUCACGAGCAGCGAAACGCACGAGCAGCGGCGGGAGAAGGGCACCGCUAUGCGCAAAGCGCCCGUGGAAAUGUUGGACUUUGGCUUCGUGCCGUCGGUGGUGUACGAAACGCACGCUUUUUAUGAACCGGCUGCCAUCGGUAUUCUUUUCCACAUGGUCCACGCGUUUCUGUAUGUGGUUCAACCAAACCCUUUCCCCAAAGAUCUCAUUGUUAAGGUUAUCCAGCAGAACAUGGGAGGAAUCAAACAGGAGGACUACAAGAAGCCAGAGAAUGUUGUAUUAUUGCUUCAGGCUAUCUACUAUGAGCUUGGCUUCAUAGUCCUGACUGUUCUGGGGGUGUUGUUUGUGUUGCUGAUGCCGAUUGUGGGUUUGGGUUUCUGUGUGUGCCGCUGCUUUGAGAACUGUGGGGGUGAGAUGCAUCAGAGACAUAAGAAGAAUGCUGACUGCCAACGAGGCUUCUACAUGGCCUCACUCAUAGCUACCUCCAUCUUCCUCAGCACGGGAGUGGUGAUCGCAUACGCAGCAAACCAGAACAUCACAUCUCAAAUCAAGAGUACGAGACGUCUCGUCGGCACCAACAUAAAAGAUUUGAAAUCAUUUGCCAACUACACACCAGCGCAAAUAGACUACCUUGCCUCACAGUACACAACAGCUAAGAACAAAGUACUAUCAGACUUAGACAAUAUUGGGCCUCUGCUGGGAAGACGGAUUCAUAACCAGUUGGAGCGAGAGGUGGUACCAGCUUUAGACAAUGCUCUUCGCUUGACAGGAGUUAAAGUGGAAGGUGCUAUUAAAGCCAUGCGAGAGAAUAAAGAGGCACUGGAGAGUGUGAUUACAUCACUGGAGACCCUUCAAGAUGGGACAGGCAAACUCCAGAACUCUCUCCAGUCUGAACAUGCCUCUCUCUCAAACACACUCAAUGACCCUGCCUGCUCUAAUGGAGACGUAACACACACCUGCAACACCAUCCGUGGAACACUCAGCCAGCUUGCUCUCAGUGGAAACUUUAAUGUGUUGCCUGAUGUUGGGGCCCAAUUGGCCAACCUGGAUGCAGUACUUAAAACAGACCUCAGCAAUAUUGUACAGAAGGGCUACUCUUCCUUUAAUGACACACCAAGGUUGGUCAGUGAACAGACAAAAGAAAUAGUGUCAGGAGUGAAAAGUCUGCUGGAUAAGUCAGGUGGAGAGAUAAUUGGUUUCACGAAGAUGUUCCCUGUGGAACCAGCACUUGAGAACUUCACAAAGUUUCUGACUGAGAGCCAGAAGAGCAUUGAAGCGUUCUACCCCCAGAUUGACCAGAUGGACUUCUACAGAUGGAUAGGGUGUGUGGUGAUUUGCUGUACAGUCAUGCUGAUAUUGGCCUUUAAUUUCCUGGGGAUGUUGUGUGGAUCAUGCGGCUAUGAUAAAAAUGCCACACCCACCACUCGUGGCUGUCUGUCUAACACUGGAGGAAAUCUGCUAAUGGCAUCUGUUGGCUUCAGCUUCAUCUUCUCCUGGGUGCUCAUGGGGGUUGCAGUCACCAUGUUUGUUGUCGGAGGGAAUGUUGAGAAGCUUCUGUGUGAGCCGCUUGCUAACAGACAGCUGUAUAAGAUCAUUGACACACCAUAUAUGGUCCAUCCUGCCAAAAAAAACUUCCUAUCUGGCAUGCUAUUUCAAGAUCCAAACAUUGACCUUACCAUCGGCAGUAUGUACCGAGAUUGUUAUGAGAAUCAUGGCUUAUAUUCAGCACUACAACUGGAGACCAAGUUCAACUUCAACAGGUUCCUCAAUGUCACAGUGUAUAACCAAGAAUUGGCUGAGAUAUUUAAUAGUGUGAGUGUGGAUCUCCAAGGAAUAAUUCUUCUGGAACAUGAGGGCAAAGAUAACCUCAUCGACUUUGCCAACACAGGCAUUGGAGAAAUUGACUAUCAGGCUUAUUUAUCAGAGGUAAAUAAAGGAGUGACAGUUGUGGAUCUUCUGUCCUAUGCUAAUGACCUUGAGGCUCAAGCAGACCAGCUGCCACGUGGAGCUCUUGAAAAUGCACUCAAGGGUCAUGCCAGCAGCAUCAGACAAAUCCACAAAGAACAAGUGGUGCCAAUGGAGCAGGCUAUGAAAUUUAUGAAAGCAAGGAGCACUCUAAGUCAGAGCAUCAGACUACUUCAGAAAUCAUCCAAAGAACUUCCUAUUAAAGUGACAAAUGUCCUGAGUGCUAUUGAGGCAGCAGAGUAUCUCAUCUCCAACAAUGCCUCACAUGUGGUCAAACAGGAGACUGAUAAAUUCAUUAAGAGCUUUGCAGGAUAUUUUACACAAUACACAGAGUGGGUAAAACACUCGGUGUAUAUGGAAGUCGCCCAGUGCAAACCCAUCAGCAACAUCGUGGACUCUCUGGAGAUCAUAGCCUGCAGCUUUAUAGUUGACUCAGUGAACACAUUCUGGUUUGGUCUGGGAGGAUGCUGUCUGUUCCUCUUCCCCAGUAUCAUUCUGUCAGUAAAACUCGCCAAAUUCUAUCGCAGAAUGGACACUGAGGAUGUCUAUGAUGAGAUUACUCACGCUGUCUGGGCAGCGAUAACACUGAGGCAGCGUUUGUGGAGAAUAUGACCAUGGCAACGUUGCGGUCACGGCAUUCCUUCUUCUGGGGGAAAGCCACUCCAGCCGCCCCCUGUGCUGCGCCUUCUACCUACGGUUAUGAGGCCGGCCUGGCUGGUGCUGGAGGCGAUUUGGGAAGUUCAAUGGUCGCAGUGUCGUCAGUGGUGCAGAGAACUGGAGCUAAAGAGAGUUUAGCAAGACAGGAGAUCAUCUGUGAUAUUUCGGAUUCCAAAAAGUGAACGAAAAAUGAAAAAGGGAAUAUAAUCAGUGAAAGUGACAUUAGAAAGAGUUCACUCCAGUUUCUUCCAAUAGAACAUACUCAGACCUGAACUGAAGAAUCGCAGGUAUGGUAUGGUAAACAGCAAUUCAUAAUUUUUUACACUUUCAAAAAGUUUUGAAAGUUUUAUUUAUAUUUUGUUGAUACCUGUUUUAUAAAACAUGUCCUUUAGUGAACAUUUUUGCUAUUAGGAUGAACUUUUUAGAUUUUAAUAAGAAAUGAAAGCUGUAAGAAAGGUCUGUGAUGUCUUGAUGGUUCUUGUUUGUAGAAUCAAACCAAGAAAAUAUAUGUUGUUUCUGAACCAAACAACCCAUGUUUGUUCAUUUAGAUCAAACGUUACUGCAAAUAUUGCAAAAUAGCGAAUUUCAGAGCAUUUACAGUAGAAAAAUAUGUCAUUAACUCUAAGGUACCUUUUCAGUGCUUGUGUAAAAUGUAACUUUUUUUCUACAUUUUGUUGUUCAAUUAAUGAAUUAAGUAUUUAAUGAUUAGUUUAAAAAAGAAUUCUUAGUAAAACACAAAAAGGUUUGAGCAAUUAAGCAUCUCUUUGUAUAUUAAAUGCACUGGAAAAUAGCUAAGUGACUUUGUAGACAAUUUAACUGAAGCCAAAUUCCUAAAAUACUGUUUGAUCAUAAAUGUUUAAAAUGUCAGCACCUUUGAUACAUAAAAAAACCUUUGAUCUGGAAUAAUACAUUUUACAUCACUAAAACCAUAUGACAAAUUCUACAAUUAAUGUUGAGCAAAAAGGUUUGUUUGUUUUUGUUUUCUUCCUGUUGUAUUCUUUUGAGUGUCUUACUGUAUUUGAUUAUAUUAUUUUUGUGUCCACAUCAAUACAGUAAACUGAAAAUGUCCAGCUGGCAGUGUAAAGGUUCUGUAAUCAUUCCUAAAAUGCACAUUUCAGUACAGAACAGUGGUCAUACAGUUCAGUAUCGCAUAGAGGCUCUCAAUCAUUUGUACAAACCAAGUUUUUUCUUAUAUUCCAAAAAUUAUAUUUGUGAAUGAGAUUCAAUGGAAUGAACUGUGAUGUUCUAAAUCUGUUAUGUAAUAUCUAAAAUUCUAUUCAAUCAAAACUUCUGUAUUUCUUUGUCAUGGCCUGCAGUGUGGCACUGUAUGUGGUACAGAUCUCCAAGGUCUUGUUGUCACCCAUGUUUUGAGACUCCAGGCAUUUGUACUGAGUUUUUUGGAUUUCACAGUGUGUGCUACAGUAUGAUAUGGAAUUCCCCUAGAACAUGGAGGUUGUGUGACAGUUACAAUAAAAAUAAAAAAAA